CUGUAACCUCCACCACCCAGGAUCAAGUGAUUCUCCUGCCUCAGCCUCCCGAAUAGCUGGGACUACAGGCAUGUGCCACGUGCCCGGCUAAUUUUUUAUAUUUUUAGCAGAGAUGGGGUUUUACCAUGUUGGCCAGGCUGGUCUUGAACUCCUGACCUUGUGAUCCGCCUGCCUCGGCCUCCCAAAGUGCUGGGAUUAUAGGCGUGAGCCACAGUGCCCAGCCUACUCUUAAAGGACCACGUCUUAUCCUUUGUCUCCUGAAAGCAUAGCCCAGAACACAGGAGACUCUCCACCAGUAUUUGUGUACUGAAUAAAGGAAUGAAGGAAACCUUCAGGCCUUCCCUCCUCAGAAGAAUCCUAAAAGGAACUUGAUUCAGGGAAAGACUUCAACUCAAAGGGGCUGGUAGGCCAUUUUAAAUGGAACAGAUGGAAGGCCAUCUUCAAAGGUACUGCCUACCUGAACCUGCCUUGUCCCAAAGGACACACUUCAAUCUGGGGAGAGUUUAAAGUUGUAGACAUAUCCAUUUUCAUUUAAGGAAUAUGAAGAUCAGGGAGGCAAAAUAUAGAGAUAUAGAGAGGAAAAACUGAGAGAUGAUCAGAAAUUCAGACGCAUUCGGAAUGAGCACCCUUGACCAUACCAAGAACAAAGACUCUAUAAAAAUGUGAAGUCUUAUUAUUGUUCAUCCAUGUUCUACGUGGGAUCCACCCAAGACAUUGAAAACUGUACAGAACAGGGUGAAAUUGAAUCAGAUCAUUCUGUACUCCUAACAAGGUCCACCCCAUGAGAGACUUGCAGCAGAAUUAAUGACACUGUAUAUUUUCCUCUACUAACAACAACAAGAACAACAACAACAACAAUCUAGGAAAAUCAAAGGCAGCCCGACAUGGAAAAAAACACAAAAUGAAUAUUUGGAUUACAAAUAGUGUGAUGGGAAGAACACACUGCCAAAAGUCCACCUAGUAUGUUGAAAUUACUGUUUCUAGCACAUAUAAGAUUUGCUGCCAAUUUGUACUGACUUCUGAAAAAUACUUUAUCCAUUGUCUUCUUACAUCAGAAUCAACUCCCUAAAUUCUUCAGCACUGGCUUUGUAAACUGGUUUCUGGUCUUUGUUUCUGGACUCAGAGAUACCAGAAAGCUACCGAGAAUGCUCCAACAAAAGGAGAAAGGAAAGAAAACGGAAGAUCUGGGAUCAUGGAUAGAGGGUAUACAACACAAAAAGGAG
rnacentral:lncRNA from 10 species